rnacentral:rRNA from 1 species
UGCAUAGCCGACCUGAGAGGGUGAUCGGCCACACUGGAACUGAGACACGGUCCAGACUCCUACGGGAGGCAGCAGUAGGGAAUCUUCCGCAAUGGGCGAAAGCCUGACGGAGCAACGCCGCGUGAGUGAUGAAGGUCUUCGGAUCGUAAAACUCUGUUAUUAGGGAAGAACAUAUGUGUAAGUAACUGUGCACAUCUUGACGGUACCUAAUCAGAAAGCCACGGCUAACUACGUGCCAGCAGCCGCGGUAAUACGUAGGUGGCAAGCGUUAUCCGGAAUUAUUGGGCGUAAAGCGCGCGUAGGCGGUUUU